GAAGGAACAAAACGCAGUGGACUCGAGCGGCUCGGGGUCUUCCUCCCACCCAUGCGCUUCUGCUCCCGUGCCCUGUGUCUCAGCACGUCCCCGGACCUGCUGCAUGCAACUCGUUACACGCCCCGGCAGGGUAAACCCCAAGGACUGCAAACCCGUUGAGUGCCGGGCAAGCUUUAGAAUCCGGAGUAUCCUCAUAAUCCGAAAUAUUUGGACCACUCGUCGUACAUUUUGGAACUGAAGUACACUUUUAUUGGAUUCUGUGAGGAAGAUAGUGACAUAGUACGGUUUCCUCACAGUGACCUUUCUCAGCGAGCCUCACAAUCACAGAAUAUCCACCGCUACCACCUGGGGCACUGGAGAAAGAAAUUCUUGCGGGAUUUCUCCUCGGUCAAGCCCAGCACAGAUAUCCUAACAGUCCGAAAAUAUCAGACUUCUAAACAGUUAUCCCUGCAUGGAGACUCUCUAAAGUGGAACAAGCCUUGCUGCUGUAGGAGAAACACACAGUCCCAACAUGGCUCAGAGACAGUGCUGUCCUCAAGUAGAGCCUCACCUCUUCCUCAAGGCUGAAAGGUUCACUUCUCUUUGACCAGAAAACCCAAUGGGACAAGUCUGGACUUGAGCAGGAAUGAUACCUCAGUGGUGAAUGAGGGUCCAGCUGCUUAGGCAAGUGGUCACUGUAGAAGAAGUGCCUGUUGUCCCUGUUCCAGGGCACUGACCCAAAACCUUGCUGCCGAGUCACUGCCAACUGCUUCUUGAAAUGGAAGUGAGCACGGGGAGAGGGCCUCCCGCUGUAGCACUUGUUUUCAUGAUCCCUUAGGACACACGCAGCACGGCCUUAUGCUGGUGGAAACUUUUGCACAAGCAAUCAAAGAGCUGAGGUUGAACGUGCUCAAGCACAGAAAGGUCCCUAGAGUGCAGGCUUGGGCUUGUGGAAAGAACCUGGGAAGGGAAGUUUAGCGUUCAGGAGUGCUGCUAAAAUGUAAACUCCUAUUACAGAGUUGCUGUGCCCCCUGCUAGGUCUUGCUCCUGGCUCAUCUGGCAUAUGUUGGCAUGUGUGGGGGCUGCAGAAGGCACCUCCAACAUCACUGCAGGCACAUCCAGAACUUUUGGGGCUGGAUGCCCCUUGUCUGCAGUAAGCCCUAUAAAACAUAACUAAAACAAUGGAAAAGCUUGCAGCCUAAAACUUGGAGGCACAAAAUAGUGAAAGGACUGGCUUGAGGACAGGUCACAUCAGCAGCAGAGGCAGCGCUCCUAAUGACAGCACUGGGUUGCAGUGCAAGUCUCAGUAUGUACAGGCAGAAUUCCAGAAAAAAACCCUUAUCUUCCACUAAACUGACUGUUUGGCAAAGAUUUUUAUUGAGUGAAGCUCUGGAUUGCUGCCGUGAUUCCUUCGUGAAAGUUAAACAACCCAAGGACACGCAGGGCAAGAUUUUGAAUGAAUCGAAACCAGUUGCCUCCAAGUGAUUAUCAUGAUUGUACAUGCAUGCUGGUUAUUACACAUGCAAAUGAGACAGGCAAACUGAUUAUCUGAGUAAGCGUAGCCAGUUUGUAUGUAACCGCUACUUCCUGAGGCAGGAUGGAUGCGCCACGCUUGCAAGCCAUUAAUGUCCACUUCCUCCAACACCCCUUCCCCUCUCCCCAAACCGGGCAGCAACCUCUACCAGACGUCUGAGGAGAUAUCGACUGCACAGGGCCUGAUCCUGCUUCCCGGGUGAGACUGGUACAAUGGAUUCAUCCUUCGUGUUGGCAAGAUCUGGGCUCAUCCCUGGGGGGAAAAGGGCUUCCACAAAGAAGGCAGUCUGUUCAGAAAUUUCCCGUCUCUCUCUGGAGCUCGUGGUAGCAGCAGAUUGUGGGCAGCAAAGUCGUGAAUGCCACCCCCAAGGCAGCACAGGGUGAGGUAAGUUUUAGGCAGCAGGGACUAACCCAAUAUUUAGGCUUGGUGAUAUUUAUCGCUUGAUUAUCUGUUCUUUGCACUGCUAAAGACCCUAACU